rnacentral:sRNA from 1 species
UUGCUGUUUAUCUUUAGGUACAUCAAAAAACUCGAAUCGAUAGAACUUGAAUUAGUAAGGGUAGCACGUGAGAUACAAGUCCACCAAUGGACCGAUAUCAAAGAAAUGAAGGCGAUACAAGUCCACCAAUGGACCGAUAUCAAAGAAAUGAAGGCGAUACAAGUCGACCAAUGGACCGAUAUCAAAGAAAUGAAGGCGAUACAAGUCGACCAAUGGAUCGAUAUCAAAGAAAUGAAGGCGAUACAAGUCGACCAAUGGACCGAUAUCAAAGAAAUGAAGGCCCAGAUAUCUGAAAAGCAUAAUAAAUGAAUCAAUAUCUAAAAUCUGGUGUUUUUCUCUCUUUCUUCUUCCCAACAAUGAUUGAAAAACUCUUUCUUGUUAUGAAUAAAGAUGGAUGCCCAUUAUAAGGCCCAUCAUCUAAGCCCAUCAUCUAGAUGUUUCUAGGGUUUUACCCUUUCCUUGUACUCCUAUAUAAAGAACCCUUUAUCUCAAUGGAAUAACACACUCAUUUCUUCUAUCUCUUUCUCUGUUUAUAACACGUUAUCAGCACGCUCUAAAAGGUAGAUAUAGAGAUUCUUACAUUUUUUUUAAGAACCAUGUUUACUUAUCGACUCAUGGUUCAUAGUACUUAUUUUCUAUUAUUGAAACAAAACAAUAUGAGCCGAUCGAUGAUUAUAGUAUAGAUCGGUAAAAGCAUGUUUUCAAUGAUUCAAUAAAGAAGAGAAUCAUGCUUAUCAUUUGUUUCUAUAAUUACUAUCGCAUGAUUCAAUGAUUCUACAAAGAAAAUCGUUAAAGAAGAGAAUCAUGCUUGUUAAUUGUUAAUUUUUGUGAUUUACUAUUACAAUAUUGAAUAUAUAAAUUACCAAUUUUAUAAUUAUAUAACUAAUUUUGUAACUAUUCAUAGCCCGGUGGUGGGUGAUGCAAGCAUGUAUUAAUGUUUUAGCAUUCCAGUUUUGAAUAGUUGCAUCUAUAUUCAAUAUCAUUUUAUAAAUAUUAUAUUGUCUAAAAUCCAUUUAUGAUUGAUAUGAUAUCCCUUAUUUAACUCCUUUGAUUAAAACGUUAUACAUAUCUUAUCACUUUUAGAUAUUGACUUUUCCAUAUUAAAUAUUUGAUUUCCAUAUAUUUGAUUGUGUUAUUAUUAUUUUUACUAAAAACGUUGCAAAAUAAUUU